UACAGAGGUGGCAAGCGUUGUUCGGAAUUACUGGGCGUAAAGGGCGCGUAGGCGGUUCGUUAAGUCCUGUGUGAAAUCCCCCGGCUCAACUGGGGAACUGCACAGGAAACUAGCGGGCUUGAGUUCGGGAGAGGGAAGCGGAAUUCCGGGUGUAGCGGUGAAAUGCGUAGAUAUCAGGAGGAACACCGGUGGCGAAGGCGCCACUCUGGGCCGAAACUGACGCUGAGGAGCGAAAGCGUGGGUAGCAAACAGG
rnacentral:rRNA from 1 species